GAUGAAGAACGCAGUGAAAUGCGAUAAGUAAUGUGAAUUGCAGAAUUCAGUGAAUCAUCGAAUCUUUGAAUGCACAUUGCGCCCCUUGGUAUUCCGAGGGGCAUGCCUGUUCGAGCGUCAUUAUAACCCCUCAAGCUCAGCUUGGUGUUGGGGCCUGCUGCACUGGCAGCCCUUAAAAUCAGUGGCGGCGCCAUCUGGCUCUAAGCGUAGUAAUUCUUCUCGCUAUGGAGUCCUGGUGGAUGCUUGCCAUCAACCCCCAAUUUUUCUAUGGUUGACCUCGGAUCAGGUAGGGAUACCCGCUGAACUUAAGCAUAUCAAUAAGCGGAGGA
rnacentral:misc_RNA from 1 species